UUGACUGUAGUAAACCUGACUGUAAUAAACUUGACUGUAGUAAACCUGACUGUAGUAAACCUGACUGUUGUAAACUUGACUGUAGUAAACCUGACUGUAGUAAACCUGACUGUAGUAAACCUGACUGUUGUAAACUUGACUGUAGUAAACCUGACUGUAAUAAACCUGACUGUAGUAAACCUGACUUUAAUUUGGGUUUACGCCAUGGCUUGUCUUCGUGGAUGUGGGUGUGGCCUCAUGGAUGCAGUCAGGUGCAUUGUGGGAUUCCUGGUCACCCUAGCCAUGUGAGGGAUGUGUUUGUGGUUUUCCUGCGAUGGAGGAACUCUUCGUGUCUUAUUGUGAGUCAGAAAUUAUGAGUUGUUCCGAAGGACUACAGGUUUUGGGACCAGACGACGUGAAGGGAACAGUGCCUACGAACUGAACACUCGCUGCCGGUUUUCCUGAGAACAGGACCAGUCCUUUUAUUCCAAAACCACAGGAGGCAGACGUUCCAUGGUUGGAGUCCGGAGCUCUGGUGGUUGGUGUGAAUGUGGUCGGACACAGGGUUUGGCCUGUGCAACAGCUGAUGAGUGUCUUCAAUCCCAUAUGCAGAGGGGGGGGUUAAAGCCCCGGUCCAGAGUUUUAUGGCUUUAAAAAGUGUCAUUUGUGAAAGUCACUGACGAGUUGACUUUCUUCAUGGACAAUAAACAUUUGUAAAACCUUAAAAAAAAGCCAUUAUUACAAAACUUACAGGUGUUUUUUUAACCUUUUAUUUUCAGCAAAAAAGGCUGAAGGAGAACAGCUGACUGCCUUCAGCAGGGGGCGCUGUCCUGAUGGACUGGACCUUUAGAACCAGGGGGAUGUCCCCAGAGCGGGUUUAAGCCUUUGUACCCGACAGUGAAUGCUCCUCCUCAGUAUCCCCAUAUACACUCAAGUAUACGCCCCCAUGUGUCAGCUGGGUUUCACCGUGAGGUUAGGACUAGUUACAUUAGUACCAGUUAACAUUAGCAUCAUGGGUUAGGACUAGUUACAUUAGCAUUAGCUAACAUUAGCAUCAUCGGUUAGGAUUAAUUACAUUAGCAUCAGCUAACAUUAGCAUCACAGAUUAGGGUUAGUUACAUUAGCAUCAGCUAACAUUAGCAUCAUGGUUUGAAACCCCUUAAAAACCAGCAGACAUUAGUGUCAUUAAACUUUUCAGCCAAUCCUCAGGCUCCAAAGGAGGUUGAAAAGAGGGUUAAUUUCACCCCAGUUCAGACUUGACUUGUGGAAAUGUUCAUACAAGGUCAAAGGUCAGACUGAGUCCAGCCGUGGUU